rnacentral:pre_miRNA from 14 species
CCCCAAGAUCUGGUUGUUCCAAGCCCAGAAGAUCCCCAAGUGAAAGAUUCCCAAAGGGAGACCCUUACUCAAGUCUCAGGAAAUCGCGGACCCCAGACACAGAGAGACCA